GCCGUCACUACCCCUUGUCCCAGAAUGAGGAUCCAUGCCAAGGAGGGGAACAGGGCAUGGGGGGCACCUGACAUUCGUAUGCCUUCCAGGAGCCCUGCACGUGUCAUCUCUUUUCAGCUUCAGAGAAAUUCCAUGAGAGCCUUCUUGGAAAAGCGAUGACAUCCCCAGCCUCAAGACAAGGAUGGGAAACUAAGGCACGGGCUCCAGACCCAGGCCUGCCACUUGCUCUGGCUCAGGCACGCUCUGACCUUCAGCUUCCUCGCCUGCUCUUCCAGUCCACAGCUCACCUGACACCUGCGGGGCAGGCGCAGAUCCAAAUACCCCCCGGCUCGCGCCUCACCCCCCGAGGGAGCAGAGCAAACCACUUGCGCGAGUCCCUUUGGGUCCGCUUCCAGCCUUUCAUCUGCUUUGCUCACCACUUCCCUGAGGCCACCCUGAUCCCGGCUCCUGUCAUCUCUGCCUGGACUUUGCAGUAGCUCCUCACUGGGUGUCCCUCACUCAGACAGAGGGUCCAUCAGAAUCUAGGUCUGAUCUCAC
rnacentral:lncRNA from 1 species